rnacentral:rRNA from 1 species
CACGCCGUAAACGAUGUCGACUUGGAGGUUGUGCCCUUGAGGCGUGGCUUCCGGAGCUAACGCGUUAAGUCGACCGCCUGGGGAGUACGGCCGCAAGGUUAAAACUCAAAUGAAUUGACGGGGGCCCGCACAAGCGGUGGAGCAUGUGGUUUAAUUCGAUGCAACGCGAAGAACCUUACCUGGUCUUGACAUCCACGGAAGUUUUCAGAGAUGAGAAUGUGCCUUCGGGAACCGUGAGACAGGUGCUGCAUGGCUGUCGUCAGCUCGUGUUGUGAAAUGUUGGGUUAAGUCCCGCAACGAGCGCAACCCUUAUCCUUUGUUGCCAGCGGUCCGGCCGGGAACUCAAAGGAGACUGCCAGUGAUAAACUGGAGGAAGGUGGGGAUGACGUCAAGUCAUCAUGGCCCUUACGACCAGGGCUACACACGUGCUACAAUGGCGCAUACAAAGAGAAGCGACCUCGCGAGAGCAAGCGGACCUCAUAAAGUGCGUCGUAGUCCGGAUUGGAGUCUGCAACUCGACUCCAUGAAGUCGGAAUCGCUAGUAAUCGUGGAUCAGAAUGCCACGGUGAAUACGUUCCCGGGCCUUGUACACACCGCCCGUCACACCAUGGGAGUGGGUUGCAAAAGAAGUAGGUAGCUUAACCUUCGGGAGGGCGCUUACCACUUUGUGAUUCAUGACUGGGGUGAAGUCGUAACAAGGUAACC